UUUGAAUCUGGCGGUCUUUUAGGCCGUCCGAAUUGUAAUCUAGAGAAGUGCUUUCCGCGCUGGACCGUGUAUAAGUUUCCUGGAAUGGAACGUCGUAGAGGGUGAGAAUCCCGUCUUUGACACGGACUACCAGGGCUAUGUGAUGCGCUCUCGACGAGUCGAGUUGUUUGGGAAUGCAGCUCAAAUUGGGUGGUAAAUUCCAUCUAAAGCUAAAUACAGGCGAGAGACCGAUAGCGAACAAGUACCGUGAGGGAAAGAUGAAAAGAACUUUGGAAAGAGAGUUAAACAGUACGUGAAAUUGCUGAAAGGGAAACGCUUGAUGUCAGUCGCGUUCGCCGGGGAUCAGCCUUGCUUAAUUGCUGGGUGUACUUCCUAGUGGACGGGUCAGCAUCAGUUUUGACUGUCGGAAAAUGGCUYGAGGAAUGUGGCACUCUUUCGGGAGUGUGUUAUAGACUCGRGUCGAAUACGAUGGUUGGGACUGAGGAACUCAGCACGACCUUAGGGUUCGGGACUUYGGUCUACGUUUGCGUGCUUAGGAUGCUGGCAUAAUGGCCUUAAGCGACCCGUCUUGAAACACGGACCAAGGAGUCUAACGUGCAUGCGAGUGUUUGGGUGUUCAAACCCGAGCGCGUAAUGAAAGUGAAAGUCGAGACCUCUGUCGUGGAGGGCACCGACGCCCGGACCGGAGCUUUUGCUAUGGAUCUGCGGUAGAGCAUGUAUGUUGGGACCCGAAAGAUGGUGAA
rnacentral:rRNA from 1 species